CCGGCAAACAAACCUCUGUCAGUAAUCGGCCCUGUUGUUAAUGAGACUUUUGUGACAGAGAGUCGAGGUUUUCUUCCAUCAAAGGAGAAGUCCUGAAUUUCCAGCAUGAACAGGCAGGAAUAUUCAACAGGAUCUCUCCAUGCAUCAAGAAUACUGGGGGGACUUGCAUCACUUCGCAGAUUAGAAGUCCUAUGUGAUGGCAAUGUAAAACUCUUAGAUGGCAGUGUCAAAGUUAGUCGUGCAUUACUUGCAGCUGGUUGUCCCUAUUUCAGAGUUUUAUAUGAGUUUGAAGAGGAUGCACAGCAAGGUUUACAUCGCACUGCA